rnacentral:pre_miRNA from 1 species
CAGAGCCCAUUGGACAGGCAUUGCUGCUGGUCUCCGGAUCGUUUUGGAACCCGACGCUUGCGUUGGAAAUCCUUCAAGCUCAGCGGCCUUGAGAGGAACGCUUUGAAUCUGUCGGGAGAUCUGUCGCGAUGCCUGACCCUUGAACUCUG